rnacentral:rRNA from 1 species
CCUACGGGAGACAGCAGUGGGGAAUAUUGGGCAAUGGGCGCAAGCCUGACCCAGCAACGCCGCGUGAAGGAAGAAGGCUUUCGGGUUGUAAACUUCUUUUCUCAGGGACGAAGCAAGUGACGGUACCUGAGGAAUAAGCCACGGCUAACUACGUUGCAGCAGCCGCGGUAAUCCGUAGGUGGCAAGCGUUAUCCGGAUUUACUGGGUGUAAAGGGCGUGUAGGCGGGAAAGCAAGUCAGAUGUGAAAACCAUGGGCUCAACCUGUGGCCUGCAUUUGAAACUGUUUUUCUUGAGUACUGGAGAGGCAGACGGAAUUCCUAGUGUAGCGGUGAAAUGCGUAGAUAUUAGGAGGAACACCAGUGGCGAAGGCGGUCUGCUGGACAGCAACUGACGCUGAGGCGCGAAAGCGUGGGGAGCAAACAGGAUUAGAUACCCCUGUAGUC